rnacentral:rRNA from 1 species
ACGAGUGGCGGACGGGUGAGUAAUGUCUGGGAAACUGCCCGAUGGAGGGGGAUAACUACUGGAAACGGUAGCUAAUACCGCGUAACGUCGCAAGACCAAAGAGGGGGACCUUCGGGCCUCUUGCCAUCGGAUGUGCCCAGAUGGGAUUAGCUAGUAGGUGGGGUAAAGGCUCACCUAGGCGACGAUCCCUAGCUGGUCUGAGAGGAUGACCAGCCACACUGGAACUGAGACACGGUCCAGACUCCUACGGGAGGCAGCAUG